CGGGAGGCCGAGGCGGCCUGGGCGGCUCAGCGCUGGGACUCGAGCGGCGUCCCGCAGACCGCGGCCCGGCGUCCUGGCUGCUCUCCCGCGGCCGGAUGCCGGCUUGGCCCGGUGCACUCGCCAGUCUCCACGUCGGCACCGUCUGGCGCCCACCGCCCUUCGGCGCGGCCCUUCUCCGCGGUCGUAAUUGUUCUCCGCCGAGCUCGGCGCUCUGGCUGCCCCUCCGGGUUCCCAAGGACCUUCCCAGUCGCCCGCCCCCCGCGUUAUUGGUGCGGGGGCCUCCGCCCUGGGAAAGUCACUCUCCCAGAACCGGGGUAGCCGGAUCGAGAGAAGUAGGCGGUGGCCCCAGUUACGCACCCCGCCCGUUUGCAGGGGUCGGACCGGCGGCACACUGGUGGGUUAAGGAUCGGUGGACCUGCGGGAAGUGGCUGAAAGAAAACCGGCUUAGUGUAUCCCGAAGUGUAGGCCUCUCUUCCCGAAGACCCCCGUAGACGGCUGGGCCCAGACCUGAUUGGUCCAAUUGGUCCAGCUCAGCCAGACUCAGUUCUGCUACCAAAGAUGGAAGGAUAUGAGCCUCCAGGAUCUUCCUGAUAUGUCUACUGUCAUUAAUGUCACCAGUGAUGGAACAAAUCAUCAUGAGCAUCAUCACGUCUGUAGUAAUUCUGCCAAAAAUAAAUAUUCUGGAUAUUACCACAUGGAAACGCAAGAAAGACCCAAAUUGCAGAAUACUUGUGUGUGUGUGUUUUUUUUAAGGACUGUAAUUGCCAAUGUUUUAAGAUAAGAUCUAAACUGGUUUUAGAAUGAAAGACUGAAGAUUCGUAACAACCAAGUGAAAUAUGUUACUCCUGGCUCAGGUCUUUCUGCCCUAAAUAGUAGUAUGAUAUAGAUAGCAAAAAUGAAUGGGCUUUCUAGGUGAUGGGCAUGGGGGAGUUCUUUACACUUUCUUGCCACUUCAGUGUUUGGAAUUAUUUUCAAAUAAAACGUGAAAAUUAGAACCCAACCUGUAGAAAAGACUCAAUUUUCUAUAAAAGAGCUGAUAAAACUAAUAUACAGAUUUACCAAGAUCACUGUGUGCAAGAUCAGCAUUCAAAAAUCACAUACAUUUCUAUAUUCUAGCAAUAAAUAAUAAAAAAUUAAAAUUUUAAAAUCAUUUACAAUGGUAUCUGUGAUAUGUGAAAUAUAUAUUUGGUUUUCAUUUCCAUUUCCUGGCAUAUACCUCCUAAAAUCCUUGGAAUCAUCAAAAUAGUGUCUCUUAUGUGCCAUUGAGUUGACGAGUGGCUGGCAUACCCUAGCUGUAGUACAGACACUGGUCACCAGAAAAACCAAAGCAGGUUUAGAGGAUUGGGACUUUCAGCCCUACCUGCCAGUCUCCAUGGAGAAGAGAGGGACUAAAAAUUAAGUUGAUCGCCAAUGACCAAUGAUUUUAUCAAUUAUGCCUAUGUAAUGAAGCCUUUUUGAAAAGUCAAAAGGCCAGACUUUGAAGAGCUUUUGGAUAACUGAGCACAUGGAGAUCCUGGGGGGUUGGGGGCACAACUUGAAAGGGCGUAGAAGCUCCAUGUCCUUCCUCCCAUAAGUCACCUAUGAAUUUCUUCACCUGUAUCCUUUGUAACAUCCUUUGUAAUAAACCAAUAAAUGCAUUUCCCUGA